rnacentral:misc_RNA from 1 species
UCUCCACAGUUACGUGGUAGGAUACGCAACCCUAUGAUCCGGCCCUCGUGGAGGAGGAGACAUGCUCUCUCCGAAAUGGCGAUAACCGGGUACAUGUCUUGCCUCUACCUCUCCACAGUUACGUGGUAGGAUACGCAACCCUAUGAUCUGGCCCUCAUGGAGGAUGAGACAUGCUCUGUCUGAAAUGGCGAUAAACCGGGUACAUGUCUUGCCUCUACCUCUCCACAGUUACGUGGUAGGAUACGCAACCCUAUGAUCCGGCCCUCAUGGAUGAUGAGACAUUCYCAAUGCUCUCUCUGAAAUGGCGAUAACCGGGUACAUGUCUUGCCUCUMCCUCUCCACAGUUACGUGGGUAGGAUAUGCAACCCUAUGAUCCGGCCCUCAUGGAGGAUGAGACAUGCCCGCUCAAAAGCGACAACUGGCUCGGCAGGUUGCGUUUGUCUUUCCACGCAAGUGGAAUUGCAGGGUAACUACCGACGCUGGACGUCACCGA